rfam:Oryza punctata chromosome 9, whole genome shotgun sequence.
GAUUUUAACUGAAAAAGUUAUCAACAACAAAGUUGAAUAACUCAUCAUGAUCUAAAACUUUUAUUUUGAUCAUUUCUUCAUCCGAUAAAGUGAUGCUAACAUUGUUCACAAAAUUGACGUAUCUCUUAUUUGGUUUUGUAAACUAUAACAUAUAUGUAAAUUUUGUGAACAAUGUUACUAACACUUUAUCGGAUGAAGAAAUGAUAAAAAUAAAAGUUUUAGAUCUUGAUGAGUUAUACAAUUUUGUUGUUGAUGACUUUUUCAACUGAAAUC